rnacentral:rRNA from 1 species
AACUAACAAGGAUUCCCCUAGUAACUGCGAGUGAAGCGGGAAAAGCUCAAAUUUUAAAUCUGACAGUCUUUGGCUGUCCGAGUUGUAAUCUAGAGAAGUAUUAUCCGCGCUGGACCGUGUACAAGUCUCCUGGAAUGGAGCGUCAUAGAGGGUGAGAAUCCCGUCUUUGACACGGACUGCCAGGGCUUUGUGAUGUGCUCUCAAAGAGUCGAGUUGUUUGGGAAUGCAGCUCAAAAUGGGUGGUAAAUUCCAUCUAAAGCUAAAUAUUGGCGAGAGACCGAUAGCGAACAAGUACCGUGAGGGAAAGAUGAAAAGAACUUUGGAAAGAGAGUUAAACAGUACGUGAAAUUGCUGAAAGGGAAACGCUUGAAGUCAGUCGCGUUGGCCAGUGAUCAACCUUGCUUUUUU